rnacentral:rRNA from 1 species
AACCGUGCCCCACUAGUCUGGGAUACCACUUGGAAACAGGUGCUAAUACCGGAUAAGAAAGCGGAUCGCAUGAUCAGCUUUAAAAGGCGGCGUAAGCUGUCGCUAUGGGAUGGCCCCGCGGUGCAUUAGCUAGUUGGUAAGGUAAAGGCUUACCAAGGCGAUGAUGCGUAGCCGAGUUGAGAGACUGAUCGGCCACAUUGGGACUGAGACACGGCCCAAACUCCUACGGGAGGCAGCAGCC